UCACAUAGAAAGUGGUACAAAAUGUUGCCACAUGGUUUGUGUGUUAGAGGAUUUUUCACAAGUUAUAGUGUGUCCAGGUGAUUCAUCCUUUUUAUGCAUGUCUAUCUUUGUGAGCUACACUGUUAACAGUUUAACUUCUAAGGGUAAUUGUAAAUGGGUAAAUGAGUUUAGUCGCACUUCUUAUUAUCUGAAAUUUCUAAGUUACAUGGAGAGAAACAAAUGAGUAGUGUCCUUGCACUGUUUCAGGAUGCAGUGCUGCAGAAGCUCAUUGAUGAUAAUUACUUAUCACAAGAGGAAAGGUUUGUACUACAUCUGAUUACAUUCUUUUUUUCCUUCCCUCAAUAUGCUUAAUGUGUGAAUCAUGCAUCCUUCAUCUCACGACUGUUUUACCCUUUUCAAGUUCCUGUCUGAAAGUUAGUAAUCUUUAACGGGUCCUGGUCUUACUUUGAACGGACAAUACACCAGCUAAACUCUAUCCUGCCAACCCAUACCAAGAACAUGAUAAAGGUUCAAGUUUCUAGCUUAUAUGAGAAAACUGCCAAUUUUUGUCUCAUGAACUAGGGUUUUUAGAUGUUUCCUGCCCAACUUGUCACCAUAAUUUUGAGUCUCUCCUAUCUAACCUGAUUGAUUUUUUUUAUUUUUAUUUUUUGUCUUUAAAUAUAUUCCAUUACGAAGACCGCAUGGUCAUGAAUUCUGGUGCUAGUAACUUUUCUUUUCCCUUUCAGAUGAAUUGGAUAGACAAAAGGUAAGCUACUAAUCUCUUUGAUAAGUGUUCAGUUUUUACUCAUUCAAGGCUGGUACUGGAUUAAAAGUGAUAGUUCUUCUGUAGGUCUUGCUUGAAGUGUAACUUCAUCUUGAAAUUUUGAAAGCUAAGAAUCAAAUUGUUUGUCAUUGCAAGUAUUAAUUUUGAAAGCUAAGAAUCAUAUUGUUUGUCAUUGCAAGUAUUAAGACUUCAAGUAAUUAUGCUUGUAAGAGUUAAUAAGCUUCAUCUGGAAUUGAAGCAAAAAACUCUGUUAAGCUCUUUGAAUAAUAUAAUAUCUCAAGUUGACAUUUCAGUAUAUUAUUUUCACAUCUGGCCCCAGAAUUGGAAAUGCCACAAUCACUGUUUAUCCAUGACUAUGAGUACAUCUUGAGGACAAGGAAGACAAAUCAUAACUUAGAAUUUCCAAAUUUAGCUAAUCGUCAAAUCAUUCUUUAGUCAUUAAUCUAGUUAGCAUAGAGAGUUUAUAAACUCUUAAAGACGUGGACCAAACUGAAGUGAAUGUGAAACAGUAAAAAAAUUUAUGGAGCACUUCAAAUUCUGUAACCGAGUCAUACUAUUUUUUUGUUUGUAUUGGCUUAUGACUUUUCUUGUUUUAAGUCAUUUUCUUGUUUCGCAGGGAUGUGCUUCGUUGGGGAAGAAAUAUUGGUUCAGCCAAAAUGAGGACAAAAAGGCGGGUUGCCUCUUGAAGGGAGAAAACUAAUCCAAUUACUUGUAGGGGGAAAACGUUAAACCCAAAGAAUAAUUGCCUCUUGAAGGGCAUUAGAAGAGGUUGCCUCUUGUCAUGGUGAGGAUUGAAAUUCUGUUUUUCUUUUUAAAUUAUUCCUAUUUUGAGUGGGUUGCUUUUGUCAUUGAAUCUUACAACUUAAGAUUAUUACAUUUUUGGAGAUUUUUAC
rnacentral:lncRNA from 1 species